GCCUCUAUAGUGUAGUGGUUAUCGCGUCGCACUUGUACUCGAAAGAAAGAAGCACAAGGUAUGCGAAGGUCGCUAGUUCAAUUCUGGCUGGAGGCA
rfam:Exophiala oligosperma strain CBS 72588 unplaced genomic scaffold supercont1.5, whole genome shotgun sequence.